CGCAACCCUACCUUACGUUGUCCAUCAGGUAAUGGACUGGGGACGUCUAAAGGAACUAGCCUGCGCAAGUAGUGAGGAAGGCGGGGAUGACGUCAAAUCAGCACGGCCCUUACGUCCAGGGCUACACACGUGCUACAAUGGCCGAUACAGAGGGCAGCUACCUGGUGACAGGAUGCAAAUCUCCAAAGUCGGUCUCAGUUCGGAUCGGAGUCUGCAACCCGACUCCGUGAAGUUGGAUUCGCUAGUAAUCGCGCAUCAGCCAUGGCGCGGUGAAUACGUUCCCGGGCCUU
rnacentral:rRNA from 1 species